rnacentral:rRNA from 1 species
GCAACCUGGUUGAUCCUGCCAGUAGUCAUAUGCUUGUCUUAAAGAUUAAGCCAUGCAUGUCUAAGUAUAAAUAGUAUACAGUGAAACUGCGAAUGGCUCAUUAAAACAGUUAUAGUUUAUUUGAUAAUUGAAUGCUACAUGGAUAACCGUGGUAAUUCUAGAGCUAAUACAUGCUGUUAAACCUGACUUACGAA